AACGAACGCUGGCGGCAGGCUUAACACAUGCAAGUCGAACGCCCCGCAAGGGGAGUGGCAGACGGGUGAGUAACGCGUGGGAAUCUACCCAGUUCUACGGAACAACUGAGGGAAACUUCAGCUAAUACCGUAUACGCCCUACGGGGGAAAGAUUUAUCGGAAUUGGAUGAGCCCGCGUUGGAUUAGCUAGUUGGUGAGGUAACGGCUCACCAAGGCGACGAUCCAUAGCUGGUCUGAGAGGAUGAUCAGCCACACUGGGACUGAGACACGGCCCAGACUCCUACGGGGGGAAGCAGUGGGGAAUAUUGGACAAUGGGCGCAAGCCUGAUCCAGCCAUGCCGCGUGAGUGAUGAAGGCCUUAGGGUUGUAAAGCUCUUUCAGUGGGGACGAUAAUGACGGUACCCACAGAAGAAGCCCCGGCUAACUUCGUGCCAGCAGCCGCGGUAACAC
rnacentral:rRNA from 1 species